rnacentral:rRNA from 1 species
AUUGAACGCUGGCGGCAUGCCUUACACAUGCAAGUCGAACGGCAGCACGGGUGCUUGCACCUGGUGGCGAGUGGCGAACGGGUGAGUAAUACAUCGGAACAUGUCCUGUAGUGGGGGAUAGCCCGGCGAAAGCCGGAUUAAUACCGCAUACGAUCCACGGAUGAAAGCGGGGGCCCUUCGGGCCUUGCGCUAUAGGGUUGGCCGAUGGCUGAUUAGCUAGUUGGUGGGGUAAAGGCCUACCAAGGCGACGAUCAGUAGCUGGUCUGAGAGGACGACCAGCCACACUGGGACUGAGACACGGCCCAGACUCCUACGGGAGGCAGCAGUGGGGAAUUUUGGACAAUGGGCGAAAGCCUGAUCCAGCAAUGCCGCGUGUGUGAAGAAGGACUUCGGGUUGUAAAGCACUUUUGUCCGGAAAGAAAUCCUUGACUCUAAUACAGUCGGGGGAUGACGGUACCGGAAGAAUAAGCACCGGCUAACUACGUG